UUCCACUUCAUACGACCUUUCUCCUAUACCCAUUCAAAUUUCAUCUCAUUCUUCUAAUCAAGAUCACGCAUAGCAAUUAAUAUUUACGAUUUCCAAUUCAACAUUCAUGGAUCAGCCGUCUUCUUCAUCGAUUUUGCUUCAAAUUCAAAUUUUUCUCAUGAUUUGUAUCUGUUUCCCAGAUUACAUGAUAUAGGCAAAGGGAAUGCUUUUCACGGAGAGAAUGUUUUGUUUCACAUUGCUCCUCUUUUGUAAUUUUGUCCAUCUUUCUCAUUUCCUCCAUGAACUCAACUUUUGAAAACAACUUAUGUACAGGUUUAUAGGAAGAUGUAGAUUCUUCAAAUAAAUGUAUUGGAACCAACCAUCCUCAUGUUAAGAGGCGAAAGAAAUUGCCGGUCCCUGUGGAGAAAGAGAAAGGUGUCGGUCUUUGGUCAAUGAUCAAGGAUAAUAUAGGGAAAUAUCUAACAAAGGUUUGCUUGCUGUUUACUUUAAUAAGCCUCUCUCCUUCCUGCAAUUUUUUUUGAAGAAAUGGAGUAUUCAUAUCUGCUGGACCAAGCAUAUGAAUGGGGAAAAAGGGUGAUAGCCUCAUGAGAAUUCUCUAUGUCGCUGCUUUUGCUUUAUCUGCCUAUGCUUCAAUAGAAGGAAGAUUUUGCAGACCCUUUAAUACAUUACUUGGGGAAACAUAUGAAGCUAACUAUCUAGAUAACGGCCUUUGUUUUUUCUCGGAGAAGGAAACAAAUUUUGUGGCGUAUUUAAUUGAUAUUUGAUAGAGGUUGAGGUGAAAAGAUUCAUCGGGAUAAUGGUGCAGUUAUGCUAUCGCAUUAUACAAGUUUAUGAUACAUAUGACACAACUACAAAAAAAUGACAUCAAGAAUUCUUGGAACUUAUGUUGUUGACAUGCCUCGCUUGGACAAUGCAGUAUUCUUACAAUUCAGCGGAGCACUGGUUCGUAUUUAAAGUGAAUUAGGUUUGCUUUGGCUUAGGUAGCGGUGAAGCUGAAUUGUACGCUAUAAGCUCAGGAUGCCGAGAUUUAGGCUAAGGUUGGAGCAAGGGUUGGUGUUGAAGCCAACUCUAAAUAGCUAAUUCUCAAUAUGAGAUGUUUGGUAUUGGGUGUGGAUCUUAUGCUCACCGGUUAGAAGUAAGAGAUCUCCAUUGCAAAUUAUAGUCGAGACUCAUGCCAGCAAGAGAUCAUUCGGCCUAAAGUAGUGCAGAAGUUAAGGUGUAGCUUUGUCGAGAAGGAGUGGCGGUCUCUACAGGCCGUUGUUUAAUUAUUGCAGAAGUAGAAUUUGUGAACCUAUUGACAGGCUGAUGCAGAAACAGGUCAAUGUUUCAUGUUGGAAUUUCUCGGUGUAGUGGUGCAUUGGAAUCCUUUAUUUAUCAAGUCACUCAUAUUUUUAGGUUGAAUGGCCUGUAUCAAUAUAGUGUAUUCAUAAUUUAUGGUAUCGGAUUUGGUAGUGGUCGAGAUGGAAAAUGGCUAAUCGUUUCAGUGAUCUGCAUUGGAUCCUACUUAUUUGUUCUGUUCUAUGUCAAUGGAAGUGUGUGGUGGUGUUGAUUACUUGGGUAGAAUUAUUUGCUGUGUUAUUUUUGUAUGUUGUAAUUUAAUUAGUUUUUGAGGCAUAGAUGGUUGUUUUGUUGAGUGUUGUUAGUUUCUUAUAUUUUGUUUGUUUCAGUUUGUAUUUUGCACAUGCAAAUUUUAUAUAGUUUAUGCCAUAUUUGGUUAUCACUUCAAUUUAUUUUGCUUUUUCAUAAAAAUGUUUGGUAUUUGUAGUGUUUAGUCAAAUAAUGUUAGUUUAUAAAUUUUUGAUGUGAUUUUGUUGUAUAAGGUAGUAAAUAUUAUUCAUGAGUAUAUUAAUAAAUAUUAUGAUUACAUAUAAUUAUGAUAGGAUAGCAAAUGAGCGA